GGACCUUGCUGGAGAUCCCCGCAUAACUGAGGCCUUCUAAAGGCCACAUACAAAAGAAAAGGGAUGAAGAAAUGAGAGAAACAUUAUCCAAGGUUGAAGAAAUGUAUUCUUCAGUUUCCCAGUUAACAGACUCUCCGGAGCGUGACUCAUAAGCCCUUGCAGCUCAAACAGCAUUGCAGAAUGAGCUACCAGCAACCUCUUUGUCCUUCACGUGAUGUUACUGAAUCAGCUCAAGAUAAUUCAUACCUUGGAGCAGCCUCACAUUGCAAGAAAGAACGUUAUUUCUCAACAUAGAACAAACAGAAGACAGAAUUAACUCCAUCUUAUAGCUGCAUUACCAUCCUGCUAUUCACUUCCUGACUUCAGCUCAAGUGCCUACAGGCCCUGUCCUGCUAAGCUCUGUACAAGGCCUGACAUUUGACACCCAAGACCCCAGGACUUACACAGAGGCACAAGCGGAGGCCCUGGGGAAGAGGAGAUGCAGCUUACUUGCUGUGAACUGCCCUGGGCUGGUGCGUGCGUGUGAGUGCCAGCUGCUCAUGUUUAGCAUCGAAUCCUUGUGCGAUCACAAGCAACUUAAUCAGCUUUGCAUCUAAAGGGGUUACCAUCACUGAUGACCGACAGACAUCUUUCCACUGGUUUCAGUAUAUUAAAAGUCCAAUUGAAAGUGGCAGGAUGGCUGGGAGAGGAUGAGGUUGACCUAUGGACUCUGCCAAAAAAAAUCUUCCAUGUGAACUUGAGUUUGCAAGGCCCUUUUUUCUUUCCCAAAAACUCUGUGUUCUGAAAAAGGACAUCUGUGACAAGAUGGAACUUGGCACCAGUAACUCAUGUACUAUGGGUGAAGCAUGCUCAGAAGAGGCAGACCCAGAGGUAGUCCUGCAUCUUGUAAAUGGCUCUGGGUGAAUCCGGAGAAUUGCAUGUAAUUUGUCAGGAAGCUCCUGCUUUGCAGUGGUUUCACCAGGAACGAAGCCCAACUUUUUUGAGUCAGUUACUUGGGAGUUAUCAGUGGAAUCUAGGGAAGAAAGGAAAAGCUUUUAUGGAACUUUAUCACAUAAUAUAACUAGUCAAGAAAUCUGUUUGGUCCACUGUGAUGUUCAAAAAUCCUUUGAGGAACUUGAAGAAAUGCUGGAACACACAGCUAUUUUCUUCUACUAGAUCCAGAUCCAGAUGGAUAGAAUGCCCUAUUGUGAAUGCCUGGCCACUAGACAACAUUAGCUUCACAAAAAGUUUGGAGGCUAUAGUUAACCUGGAAAAGCAUAGCUCUGAACUGGAAGCCGAGAGAACCUACAGCAAAAUGUAAAUGUGAACUCAUGUGAGUGAGGAGGUGAAGCACUGUUCUGUAAAGAAAAGCAUGCAACAGCCCCUGGAGCCAUGGCCCUGUUGAUUAAUGCACUAGUGUGAACUUUCUUUGUAGCAAGGUCUGUAGAUGCUUUUAAUUUCAAUAUAAUAAAAGGGAAUUAGGCAGGUAUCAAGACUAUUUCUAUUUUCCAGCAACAAAAAGAAAAAGCAAGCCUUGUUAAUUGAGCAUUUUCUUACAUGGAGACAUUAAAUAAAUCUUGUGGCUUAUUUUCCUUUUUUUUGAAUAGGUCCUUAUUUUCCAGAUUUUACACUCAAGGAGAUAUACUUUAUUCAGUUCUUCUAGACCAAGGCUGGACUCCUUCCUAGCCAUAGACAGAGAUUCUUUGAAAUUGUUUUCAAAGUCCAAUGCUGGCUGAAACUAUUUUAGGUCUUGUCUUUGCUACCUUGGCCCUAUCUGAAAGGAAGAAGUUUGCCCUUGAAAGAGAGUUAAACUGCUGUGAUUCACCGACUUGGAAGAAUUGCAGGAUGCUGACUGCCUGAAGUGGUGCCUCCCGCUGGACCAGUGCAAGUUUCCUUCCUUCUUGUCUGACCAAGCCAUUAAGAAGUUAGUCAGUUCCCUGAAGGUUACUUCCAAGGAAUCUACAAAAAGGAAAUAUCCAGCCCUGGAAAGGUAAUUUACCUAGACAGGAUUUGAAAUGCGAGGUACUCAGUUGAGGGAAGAAAGUCCUAUAUCCCAUCUGGCUGCAAGAAUGCAGCUUCACAAGGUUUUUAUCCCAUGAGAUAACAACUGCAGACAUUCUACUGGGAGAUGUCCUAUAAAAUCUGAAGUACUUGGAGAUCCACAUUUUCUCUCAUCUGGCCUGUUCAAGUCAGAACUGUGGUGCAUCAGUGUUCUCAGAGAAACAGUUUUGGGUAAAGCAGCAUCCUCCUUUUGAGAAUGGUUUGAAUCCUCAUCUGUGUGUGAUGUCUCCUGAACAGCAGCUAUUUUUGACUUGGUCGAGGCACACGUGGGAGGAAAUGCCAGCUAUCUGCCUUCGGGGACUAGCUGUAACUUGCUUCCUUUGUUCUUAAGAAGCAGAUCCCCAGCUGGUGUGAAAUGGCAUUUCAGAAGUGCUACUCCUGUGAGAAGCCAGUCCUAAAGCCUGCCACACUGA